rnacentral:rRNA from 1 species
GACGAACGCUGGCGGCGUGCUUAACACAUGCAAGUCGAACGGAAAGGCCCUGCUUUUGUGGGGUGCUCGAGUGGCGAACGGGUGAGUAACACGUGAGUAACCUGCCCUUGACUUUGGGAUAACUUCAGGAAACUGGGGCUAAUACCGGAUAGGAGCUCCUGCUGCAUGGUGUGGGUUGGAAAGUUUCGGCGGUUGGGGAUGGACUCGCGGCUUAUCAGCUUGUUGGUGGGGUAGUGGCUUACCAAGGCUUUGACGGGUAGCCGGCCUGAGAGGGUGACCGGCCACAUUGGGACUGAGAUACGGCCCAGACUCCUACGGGAGGCAGCAGUGGGGAAUAUUGCACAAUGGGCGGAAGCCUGAUGCAGCAACGCCGCGUGCGGGAUGCCGGCCUUCGGGUUGUAAACCGCUUUCGCCUGUGACGAAGCGUGAGUGACGGUAAUGGGUAAAGAAGCACCGGCUAACUACGUG